UGUCAAUUAAAACAUCAAUUCAUACAAGUUUGGCUACGGCUUUCAAUCCUAGCCCCAACAAAGUAACUACUCACUCAUAAUCAUACAAAUUGGCAUCAAAUCUAUAAAGUAAAUCAAGGUAAAUUAAAGAGUUAAGGGAAGAAAGAACUAGUUGAAGCUUGACAAAUUAAUGGGUAGCUUCUCCUUCAUUUUUCUCCUUCAAUGCUCCUUGAAUCCUCCUUGAUUGUGGAAUGGAUGGAUAUGAACUUCUUGAUGGUGAUGAUGAAUGAAAUGGUGAUGAAGACAUGAUGCUCCUUUGGCUAACUUUGAGUGGUGGUGAUGAAGUUUAUGAUUAGGUAUUGUGGGUUUGGAUUUUGG
rnacentral:lncRNA from 1 species